rnacentral:tRNA from 2 species
GCCACUGUAGCUCAGGGGUAGAGCACUCGAUUCGUAAUCGAGCGGUCGUCGGUUCAAAUCCGACCAGUGGCU